AUUUGACUUUUACAAAGCAGAAAAGUAGGGAUGCACCGAAUCCAGGCUUUGGAUUCGGGCGAAUAUUGGGCUUUUUGACGUGGUUCGGUUUCUGCAGAACCUUAGUAUUUUUUCCCACCGAACCGAACCCUACGCUUGUACUACGCGUGCUAUGCUGGUCGACGUAAUGAUGCCGCCGCUGAUUAAGGGAAGGUGUUUAUGUAGGAGGAGCGUUCAAUGCAGCAGGCUGUGAGAAAGUGAAAAUGGAACU